rnacentral:lncRNA from 1 species
GUUUCAGGGUCGAUCCGUGUGCAUGACUGGGGAUGCUGUUCAAAGGCUAUGAGCAGUCCUCUGCAGACAUGUGGCAUCAGAAAUAUGCAGGAGAGAGAGAGAUCAGCCUACGAAGCAGGAUGUAAGAGUGUGUGAUAUGCCGCACACCACUGCCAGCUGACGGAGGGCUCCACACCACACUCUUGUUGGCGUCUUCUGCAAUUGUCUGACAAAUCGCAGAGGGACAUUCUGAUGUGACAAUGGCAAACAGACUUUCCUUUCACUGCCAGGGUAAAUCACCAGAGAUCUUUCUAGAUAUUUCAGGAGGCAGUAAAAAUCCCUGCAUUUCUCAGAGAAAGGAGCAAAGUCUUGUAUAUGUGGGACCAUGGGACCCAGAUCCUGAGUUGACAGCCAAUAGCAAGAAUGGUGAUAGGUAAGCAACAUUUUGUCUCCUUCUAUAACGUGUUUAAUUGUCACAGAUGACACAGAAAUGCAUUUCUAAAAAAAC